rnacentral:rRNA from 1 species
UACAGAGGGUGCGAGCGUUAAUCGGAAUUACUGGGCGUAAGCGUGCGCAGGCGGUCUGCUAAGAGAGAUGUGAAUCCCGGCUUAACCUGGGAACUGCGUUCUAACUGGCAGGCUUGAGUGUGGCAGAGGGGGUGGAAUUCCGACGUGUAGCAGUGAAAUGCGUAGAGAUGUGGAGGAACACCGAUGACGAAGGCAGCCCCUGGCUAACACGUGACGCUCGAUGCACGAAGCGUGGGAGCAACAGG